CUCGAUCCUCAUUCUCUCUUUCCUUUCUCCCAAUUUUAGUAACUAAACUUUACAGGCCUUGUGCAACAAAACAAAAUAAAUUCCACUCUCUCCAAUGACUUCUCUGGUAAAAGUCUCCGACGUGCCACUGACUCCCUCCGGCCAGCUGUUUCUCCAGCCGGAGAUGAACACCAUUAUCAACUGUGCAGUCGGCGGCAAAAACGACAUGGACACGGAAGCUAUAAAAUCCGCCUUAAAGAACUCCAUCAUGACGAAGCACCCGAGAUUUAGCAGUCUCCUUGUACACGACAAGAACGGAAUGGAGCAUUGGAGAAGAACAGAGGUCGACGUCGACAAACACAUCAUAUAUGCUGAGAUCCCUAAGGUCAACGGCACAGCAGACAACAACGCCGGCAUUGAUGCCGAGAAAAUGGUGAACGAUUAUAUAGCAGAUUUAUCAGUAAGUAGCCCGCUUAGCUUGGACAAGCCUUUGUGGGAAGUUCACAUAAUGUGGGAGCCACCGUGCGCUGUUUUCAGGUUUCAUCACGCACUUGGGGAUGGGAUCGAACUGAUGUCGAUGUUCCUCGGAAGUUGCAGGAAGUUGGAGGAUCCAGAGGCUGUGCCCACCUUGGAUAGUGGUCGUAUCCGCAGGAAUUGGAGGGGAAGCGGAGGGAAAUUGAAGGGUCGUAGAGGUCUUUUGAUGUGGUUCUUGAAGAUGGUUUUGUAUGCCUUGAAUUUUUUGAUGGGGUUCUUGAAGGUGGUUUUUUAUACUUUGCUUUUCUACGUGGAGUUUGUGUUGAGGUGUUUCUGGGUUGGUGACUCGAAGACAGUUAUCUCCGGCGGUGAUGGGGUGGAGCUAUGGCCGAGGAAAGUGGCUACUGCCCAUUUCUUGAUUGAGGACAUGAAAAUGGUGAAAAAGGCUGUUGCUAAUGCGACCAUUAAUGAUGUUCUUUUGGGAAUGAUAUCAGCUGGAUUUUCAAGGUACUUGGAUCAUCGAUCGCCAAAUUCUUUGAAGAAAAAUCAGCGACUCACGGGAGUAGCCAUGGUUAAUUUAAAAGAGCCGAUAACAUUGCAGGAUAUGGAUCUGAACAAAAUGAUAGAAAGCACUCCAAGGUCUCGUAAGGGCAACAAAUUUGGGAUUAUUCUCAUACCCAUUUUUUAUAAUAAAGGUAUCGCACCUCUGCAGUAUGUGAAGAUAGCUAAGAGAACAGUUGACAGGAAGAAACAGUCCUUGGAGGCUUUUAUCUCAUAUGGAAUUUCAAAUUUAUCAAACUACUUGUUCGGAUCUAAGUUUGUUUCCUAUUUCAUGUACAGGAUUCUUUGUCAUAGUAGCUUUACCAUCUCCAAUAUGGCUGGACCAAAAGAUCAGGUUACUUUAGCAGGCAAUCCUAUAACAUAUAUAAAGGCUAACAUCACUGGCGUGCCCCAAGCAGUGGCAAUGCACAUGGUGAGCUAUGCAGGGAAAGCUGACAUGCAACUUGUGGUGGCCAAAGACAUCAUCCCUGACCCUCAAUUUCUUGCUAAAUGCUUAGAAGAUUCCUUGCUUGAAAUGAAGGAAGCUGCUAUUGCUACCAUGAAAAAAAAAGGGAAAAAAAUGUUAUCAUAAAGAUACAAGAAAGAAAAAAUUGGUUGGCCAUUGUCUGGCAAGUUAAUUACCUUUAUAUGCAUCGACUUUUUGGCGAAAGUAAUAAAAUAAAAGAUAAUUGCAUUAAGAGGUAUAAUAUUUGGUAAAUUAUUAUAUAUUUUCGGUAUAAAUGUACCCUCACUCAUCAAAAUAUAGGUCUUAUAUUCUUAAAUUUAAUGAAUAAAUAUUUUUUUGUAAGUGAUGAGUGCACUGUGUAAUUUGCCAUCACCUUUAAGCCAAAAGGUGACUCCCUUGAAAAUGUAUAAAUAAGGCCGAAUUUCUCUUAUGUGUUUAGAGGAAAAAAAAUGUAAUAAAAUUGAUGGAGGGAUGUUGCGUAUUGAACCUAAAAAGGAGGUUUCUUUUGAGUGUUCAUUGCGUGUACAAGUGUGUGCAAGUUGGUGCGAUUUCUUGCUUAGCCCUUAGUCUUUAGAACUCUCAUUCAAUAAAUUGGUAGAGAAUUUAUUGUUUCUACAAACAAGACACACAUCUAAACUGCGAAAUCUUUAAUAUAGUUA
rnacentral:misc_RNA from 1 species